rnacentral:rRNA from 1 species
AUUGAACGCUGGCGGCAUGCUUUACACAUGCAAGUCGAACGGUAACAGGGAGCUUGCUCCGCUGACGAGUGGCGAACGGGUGAGUAAUGCGUCGGAACGUGCCGAGUAGUGGGGGAUAACGCAGCGAAAGUUGUGCUAAUACCGCAUACGUACUGAGGUAGAAAGUGGGGGACCUUCGGGCCUCACGCUAUUCGAGCGGCCGACGUCUGAUUAGCUAGUAGGUGAGGUAAAGGCUCACCUAGGCGACGAUCAGUAGCGGGUCGGAGAGGAUGACCCGCCGCACUGAGACUGAGCCACGGCCCAGACUCGGACGGGGGGCAGCAGUGGGGAAUGUUGGACAAUGGGCGACAGCCUGACCCAGACAGGCCACGUGUCUGAAGCAGGCCUUCGGGUUGUAAAGGACUUAUGGCGGGAAGGAAAUCCCCAGCGCUAAUACCGCUGGGGGAUGACAGUACCUGAGGAAGAAGCACCGGCUAACAACGUGCCAGCCGCCGCCGUAACAC